CUGCCUCAUACUCGGGGAUAGCCUUUCGAAAGAAAGAUUAAUAUCCGAUAGCAUAUAUUUCCCGCAUGGGUUUUAUAUUAAAGAAAUUCGGUAUGAGAUGGGGAUGCGUUCCAUUAGUUUGUUGGCGGGGUAACGGCCCACCAAGACUACGAUGGAUAGGGGUUCUGAGAGGAAGGUCCCCCACAUUGGAACUGAGACACGGUCCAAACUCCUACGGGAGGCAGCAGUGAGGAAUAUUGGUCAAUGGACGCGAGUCUGAACCAGCCAAGUAGCGUGAAGGAUGACUGCCCUAUGGGUUGUAAACUUCUUUUAUAUGGGAAUAAAGUGGUCCACGUGUGGAUUUUUGUAUGUACCAUAUGAAUAAGGAUCGGCUAACUCCGUGCCAGCAGCCGCGGUAAUACGGAGGAUCCGAGCGUUAUCCGGAUUUAUUGGGUUUAAAGGGAGCGUAGGCGGAUUGUUAAGUCAGUUGUGAAAGUUUGCGGCUCAACCGUAAAAUUGCAGUUGAUACUGGCAGUCUUGAGUGCAGUAGAGGUGGGCGGAAUUCGUGGUGUAGCGGUGAAAUGCUUAGAUAUCACGAAGAACUCCGAUUGCGAAGGCAGCUCACUGGAGUGUAACUGACGCUGAUGCUCGAAAGUGUGGGUAUCAAACAGGAUUAGAUACCCUGGUAGUCCACACAGU
rnacentral:rRNA from 1 species